rnacentral:rRNA from 1 species
AUUGCCCUAGUAACGGCGAGUGAAGCGGCAACAGCUCAAAUUUGAAAGCUAGCCUUCGGGUUCGCAUUGUAAUUUGUAGAGGAUGAUUUGGGGAAGCCGCCUGUCUAAGUUCCUUGGAACAGGACGUCAUAGAGGGUGAGAAUCCCGUAUGUGACAGGAAAUGGCACCCUAUGUAAAUCUCCUUCGACGAGUCGAGUUGUUUGGGAAUGCAGCUCUAAAUGGGAGGUAAAUUUCUUCUAAAGCUAAAUAUUGGCGAGAGACCGAUAGCGCACAAGUAGAGUGAUCGAAAGAUGAAAAGCACUUUGGAAAGAGAGUUAAAAAGCACGUGAAAUUGUUGAAAGGGAAGCGCUUGCAAUCAGACUUGUUUAAACUGUUCGGCCGGUCUUCUGACCGGUUUACUCAGUUUGGACAGGCCAGCAUCAGUUUCGGCGGCCGGAUAAAGGCUCUGGGAAUGUGGCCUCCACUUCGGUGGAGGUGUUAUAGCCCAGGGUGUAAUACGGCCAGCCGGGACUGAGGUCCGCGCUUCGGCUAGGAUGCUGGCGUAAUGGUUGU